rnacentral:rRNA from 1 species
CUGGUGCUUGCACUAGAAAAACUUAGCGGCGAACGGGUGAGUAACACGUAAAGAACCUGCCUCAUAGACUGGGACAACUAUUGGAAACGAUAGCUAAUACCGGAUAACAGUAUUUCUCGCAUGAGAGAUAUUUAAAAGUUGGUUAUGCUAACACUAUGAGAUGGCUUUGCGGUGCAUUAGCUAGUUGGUGGGGUAAAGGCCCACCAAGGCGACGAUGCAUAGCCGACCUGAGAGGGUGAUCGGCCACACUGGGACUGAGACACGGCCCAGACUCCUACGGGAGGCAGCAGUAGGGAAUCUUCCGCAAUGGGCGAAAGCCUGACGGAGCAACGCCCGCGUGAGUGAAGAAGGAUUUCGGUUCGUAAAGCUCUGUUGUUAGGGAAGAAUGGAUAUGUAGUAACUAUACAUAUAAGAGACGGUACCUAACCAGAAAGCCACGGCUAACUACGUGCCAGCAGCCACGGUAAUACGUAGGUGGCAAGCGUUGUCCGGAAUUAUUGGGCGUAAAGCGCGCGCAGGUGGUUUAAUAAGUCUGAUGUGAAAGCCCACGGCUCAACCGUGGAGGGUCAUUGGAAACUGUUAAACUUGAGUGCAGGAGAGAAAAGUGGAAUUCCUAGUGUAGCGGUGAAAUGCGUAGAGAUUAGGAGGACACCAGUGGCGAAGGCGGC